rnacentral:lncRNA from 1 species
GGAUCACUCUGUUCUCACUUUGUCUGACUUCAUCUUAAAAACUUGUAUUUUCAGUGCCAAAUGCCACACAGAGAGAACCUCGCUGACAUCAGUGCUACUGUUGUUGGCAUUGAGUACACUUCAUCUCUGAAAGAUCUGCCCUGGUAGAAAACCAUCUAAUAUUCUUCCUGCUUAUAUAAUAUUCUAAGAAUGAGGCUAUCAAAUAUUUUUUUAAAGUAUUUGUUGCUGUUUGAUAUAUCACUGACAUAUUCUUUUAUGGCUGAAAAUGUGCUUGAAGACUGGUGAAGCCUUGUUCUUGCUAAGUUUUUCAUUCUUUUAAAAAUGCUUUUUGACCAAUUUGUAUUUCAUCUCCUGCUGUACAUGACAAGAACACACUGCCAUGAAUUCAAGAGAGAGUUAAAGCAGAGCAAGUCAAAUUGGAAAGAGGCCCUUGGAAUACAGUUACAUUCACCAUAUGAAAGGAGACGUUGUAACAGUUUGUUCUUUAAAGAAGCCUCAAAAGGGAAAAAAACCCUCAAAGCAGCAAACCUUUUGGCUCUUUUGAUCUCCU